CGAAGAACCUUACCAGGUCUUGACAUCCUCUGACAACCCGAGAGAUCGGGCGUUCCCUUCGGGGACAGAGUGACAGGUGGUGCAUGGUUGUCGUCAGCUCGUGUCGUGAGAUGUUGGGUUAAGUCCCGCAACGAGCGCAACCCUUGAUCUUAGUUGCCAGCAUUUAGUUGGGCACUCUAAGGUGACUGCCGGUGACAAACCGGAGGAAGGUGGGGAUGACGUCAAAUCAUCAUGCCCCUUAUGACCUGGGCUACACACGUGCUACAAUGGACGGUACAAAGAGUCGCAAGACCGCGAGGUGGAGCUAAUCUCAUAAAACCGUUCUCAGUUCGGAUUGUAGGCUGCAACUCGCCUACAUGAAGCUGGAAUCGCUAGUAAUCGCGGAUCAGCAUGCCGCGGUGAAUACGUUCCCGGGCCUUGUACACACCGCCCGCCACACCACGAGAGUUUGUAACACCCGAAGU
rnacentral:rRNA from 1 species